rnacentral:rRNA from 1 species
GACGAACGCUGGCGGCGUGCUUAACACAUGCAAGUCGUACGGUAAGGCCCUUUCGGGGGUACACGAGUGGCGAACGGGUGAGUAACACGUGAGUAACCUGCCCACAACUUUGGGAUAACGCUAGGAAACUGGUGCUAAUACUGGAUAUGUGCUCCUGCUGCAUGGUGGGGGUUGGAAAGCUCCGGCGGUUGUGGAUGGACUCGCGGCCUAUCAGCUUGUUGGUGGGGUAGUGGCCUUCCAAGGCGGCGACGGGUAGCCGGCCUGAGAGGGUGACCGGCCACAUUGGGACUGAGAUACGGCCCAGACUCCUACGGGAGGCAGCAGUGGGGAAUAUUGCACAAUGGGCGCAAGCCUGAUGCAGCAACGCCGCGUGCGGGAUGACGGCCUUCGGGUUGUAAACCGCUUUCAGCAGGGACGAAGCUUUUUGUGACGGUACCUGCAGAAGAAGCACCGGCUAACUACGUG